rnacentral:rRNA from 1 species
AACCAGCACCUCAAGUGGUCAGGAUGAUUAUUGGGCCUAAAGCAUCCGUAGCCUGUUUUGUAAGUCUUCGGUUAAAUCCAUCAACUCAAGGCAUGGGCCGCCGGAGAUACUGCACAGCUAGGGAGUGGGAGAGGUAGACGGUACUCGGUAGGAAGGGGUAAAAUCCUUUGAUCUAUUGAUGACCACCUGUGGCGAAGGCGGUCUACCAGAACACGUUCGACGGUGAGGGAUGAAAGCUGGGGGAGCAAACCGG